AGGAUUAACGCUGGCGGCGUGCCUAACACAUGCAAGUCGAACGAGGUAGCAAUACCUAGUGGCAGACGGGUGAGUAACGCGUGGUCAACCUACCGUUGAGUGGGGGAUAACUAGCCGAAAGGUUAGCUAAUACCGCAUACGAGUCUCGGGGGCAUCCCUGGGCCUUAAAAGGAGCAAUCCGCUCGAUGACGGGACCGCGUCCCAUUAGCUAGAUGGUGGGGUAACGGCCUACCAUGGCACCGAUGGGUAGCUGGUUUGAGAGAGCGACCAGCCACACUGGGACUGAGAAACGGCCCAGACUCCUACGGGAGGCAGCAGUGAGGAAUUUUCCGCAAUGGGCGAAAGCCUGACGGAGCGACGCCGCGUGUGGGAAGAAGGCCUUCGGGUCGUAAACCGACUGUCGAAGGGGACGAUAAUGACGGUACCCUUGGAGGAAGCCCGGCUAACUACGUGCCAGCAGCCGC
rnacentral:rRNA from 1 species